rnacentral:rRNA from 1 species
GACGAACGCUGGCGGCGUGCUUAACACAUGCAAGUCGAACGAAGUGGCGAACGGGUGCGUAAUACGUGGGUAACCUGCCCUCCUUUUUGGGAUAAGCCUUGGAAACGGGUUCUAAUACCGGCUAAAGGUGGAUGUGGUCGUGGCUUAUCAGCUUGUUGGUGGGGUGCUGGGCUGACAAGGCGGUGCCGGGUAGCGGGCCUGAGCGGGUGAACGGCCACAGUGGGACUGAGAUACGGCCCAGGGUCGUACGGGGGGGAGCAGUGGGGGAAAUUGCACAAAGGGUGAAAGACUGAUGCAGCGACGCCGAUGGGGGGAUGAAGGCUUUCGGGUUGUAAACCUCUUUCGCUAUCGAAAGGGUAGGUGGAGAAGAAGCGCCGGCUAACUACGUGCCAGCAGCCGCGGUAAUUC